UUUGUACUCCCUCUGUCCGAAAAUUCUUGUCUUAAAUUUUUCUAAAUAUGGAUGUAUCUAGUUACAUUUUAGUGUUAGAUACAUCCGUAUCUAAACAAAUGUAAGACAAGAAUUUUGGGACGGAGGGAGUAAUAC
rnacentral:pre_miRNA from 1 species